rnacentral:rRNA from 1 species
UUCUGGACAGUACUGACGCUGAGAUGCGAAAGCGUGGGGAGCAAACAGGAUUAGAUACCCUGGUAGUCACGCUGUAAACGAUGUCGAUUUGGAGUUUGUUGCCUAGAGUGAUGGGCUCCGAAGCUAACGCGAUAAAUCGACCGCUGGGGAGUACGGCCGCAAGGUUAAAACUCAAAUGAAUUGACGGGGGCCCGCACAAGCGGUGGAGCAUGUGGUUUAAUUCGAUGCAACGCGAAGAACCUUACCUGGUCUUGACAUCCAUAGAAUUCUGCAGAGAUGUGGGAGUGCCUUCGGGAACUAUGAGACAGGUGCUGCAUGGCUGUCGUCAGCUCGUGUUGUGAAAUGUUGGGUUAAGUCCCGCAACGAGCGCAACCCUUAUUCUUUGUUGCCAGCGAUUUGGUCGGGAACUCAAAGGAGACUGCCGUUGAUAAAGCGGAGGAAGGUGGGGACGACGUCAAGUCAUCAUGGCCCUUACGACCAGGGCUACACACGUGCUACAAUGGCGUAUACAAAGGGAAGCGAAGGUGCGAGCUGGAGCGGAUCUCAUAAAGUACGUCUAAGUUCGGAUUGGAGUCUGCAACUCGACUCCAUGAAGUCGGAAUCGCUAGUAAUCGUAGAUCAGAAUGCUACGGUGAAUACGUUCCCGGGCCUUGUACACACCGCCCGUCACACCAUGGGAGUGGGUUGCACCAGAAGUAGAUAGCUUAACCGCGAGGGGGGCGUUUACCACGGUGUGAUUCAUGACUGGGGUGAAGUCGUAACAAGGUAACCA